rnacentral:rRNA from 1 species
GAUUGGGACUGAGACACGGCCCAGACUCCUACGGGAGGCAGCAGUGGGGAAUCUUGCGCAAUGGGGGCAACCCUGACGCAGCGACGCCGCGUGCGGGACGGAGGCCUUCGGGUCGUAAACCGCUUUCAGCAGGGACGAGGAGAGACUGUACCUGCAGAAGAAGCCCCGGCUAACUACGUGCCAGCAGCCGCGGUAAUACGUAGGGGGCGAGCG